rnacentral:tRNA from 1 species
UCUCUGGUGGUCCAGAGGCUAAGACUCUGCACUCCCAAUGCAGGGGUCCCGGAUUUGAUCCCUGGUCAAGGAA